CUCUGGGGAACUGUGGGGUUGGUUGGGUAAACGCCCCACAGUUAUUAGAAUACGUAAAAGCAAGAUAUAAUGGUCUGAGGAUAAAAAAGGCUUAAAUAAUGAUUUAAAAAAAAAUGACUUGAGAUAUAUAAAAAAAAAAAUGAAACAUGUUUCAGAUUUCUUUGUCUUGCUAUUCUGCUGUUACAUUGAGACUCCAAAGGGUCAUAGUUGUAAAAUUGUCUGUCUACUCUACAGGUAUGAAUGAAAAAUGUGGCCACAUGUAUGUUUGGUUUUGAAUGUCUGAGUUUGCGUGUCCUUUGUGUUAAGGAAUACAAGUUAAUACUAGUCAUCUGGCUAUUCAGAUACUAGUUUAAAGCAUAAACUGUUCUAUUUAAAUAAAAAAAAAACUAAGAGAUAUAUUUGACUAAUAUAUCUAUAGGAGAACAAAUUGGCCUGGUUAUUGUUACCAAACUUAGAGAUAUUUUCAGGAUUAGGCCUAGAUUUGUUUGGCUCAGAUACAUUUAAUAGAUAAUGGUCCUCAAACCUGUCAAAGAUCUGAUGAAUAUGGCAUUUACAUUAUUUGAUAAAAAGCUUACUAUAGCAAACAGAGACUCCGAGCUCCCCAGCUCCUAGAUAUGACUCCCAAGGUCUCCAAAGAAGAUAUGGAACAAUGACAAGAAGAUGCCACCUGAAUUGCGGAUGACACCGACCACUGGGCAAGACGCUCUGACUCAACACCUGCUGCCAGGGAUGUGGCAUAGAAGAAUGGACAAAUGAGACACUGACAAGAUAAGGUCAGUCUUUCUCCUCCACAGGGAGAAUUUCACAUUAUGGGCCCAGCAGCCAAGACUGAUGCUGUCCUGACACCUGUCCUGCCAACACUAUGAAGACUAUAGGAGCCUGGGAUGAUGGCAGUCUGGGUUUCCACUUGGCUGACAGAUACAUCCAAGCAUCAUUUGCUGGUGACAACCUACUGCAAAUGACUAUGAGCCCUGAACUUGCUGAAAGCUGAUAUGGACCAAUUCAGCCGAUACGCAUACCAUCUCUUCAGCUGGUCAAUAAAACAUUCCCUCUUGUCUUUGA